AAUUUUGGACAAUGGGGGAAACCAUGAUCCAGCCAUCCCGCGUGUAUAAUGAAGGCCUUCGGGUUGUAAAGUACUUUUUGCAGAGAAGAAAAGGUAUCUCCUAAUACGAGAUACUGCUGACGGUAUCUGCAGAAUAAGCACCUGCUAACUACGUUCCAGCAUCCGCGGUAAUACGGAGGGCUGAAACGUUAAUCGGAAUUACUGGGCGUAAAGCGGGUGUAGGCGGUUCGGAAAGAAAGAUGUGAAAUCCCAGGGCUCAACCUUGGAACUGCAUUUUUAACUGCCGAGCUAGAGUAUGUCAGAGGGGGGUAGAAUUCCACGUGUAGCAGUGAAAUGCGUAGAUAUGUGGAGGAAUACCGAUGGCGAAGGCAGCCCCCUGGGAUAAUACUGACGCUCAGACACGAAAGCGUGGGGAGCAAACA
rnacentral:rRNA from 1 species